ACGAGUAAGGGUUAGCGCUGCCGAAAGAAGAAGAGAGGCGUUGCAGCUGUUAAGAGAAAAGAGAGCAAAGAGAAGAAAUGAUGGAGCUCAGACAACAAACGUUGCUCCGGAUCACUUUGACUUGACAGAGAUGUGAAAUGAUUUAUCUAAGACACUGCCGACUGUAAAUUUGGGUAGUGAACCUCUCUUACAGACUCAGACGAGCUCCACACCGUCUAUAAAUGCCCCAACCAAUACCAGCACUAUACCUGAUCCUGACCUACAAAUCAUUGAGGUUCGAGAAGAAACUCGUUCUCAACCUUUGGAAAUACUUCCUAUUGCGGUGUCUCUUCUGAGUUCUCUUAAGGAAGAGUUAAUAAAAGAUGACUUUACCUUUGUCCCUUCGAAAAUUCAAACACAAGAAACUUCUGUUAAUGACAGCCCUCCGAAACCGCAAUAGUAGCCCUGCAAAGAAGCACCAGCACGACAAUCAGAACAAGAAGCACCUGUCGAUGUAUAAGUUUUACUGCUUGUUUAAAACUGGGAAAUUUUGGUUCAUUACAUGCUUUACUUGUGGAUCAUUUGAAUCCACAAAUCAAUUCAACGUGUUCUUAUAUUGGACUCUCUUCUGUUUGUUACAGCUGCCCUCCGAAACCCAAAAAGCAAGCUGGUGGGGAAUCUUUCCUGAUGAAGACGGAGCCAGAACCUCCAUUGAAUGUCAGCCCUCUCGAAGAAAAACAGCAAGCGUGCCAAGAAGCUUUGGCGGCACGGCAAUUGGAAGAAGAAGCACAACCUGAUUUAAUCGGAAAAACAGGCCGCCGAGGGAUCUUGCCCAAGGAAGACGGAGCUAGAACGUCCGUUGAAUGUUGCUGCUCGUCCUUCUUUGUGGAAACAUGAUGCACCUUCGUUCUACCUUGGCAUAAGUCCCCUGACAUCUCAACCAACUCCCCCGACCUCUCAGCCGACGGUGUCACAGCUUGAAAUCCUAGCAGAGGCAGUGGUAGAUGCUGGGGUAACAACGGCAUUGAAAUUUUCUGAAGCAACAAGUGCCGAGCCGAGCUUCAUAGCCGCUGAAGUGUACAAAACUUCGGAGAAAGAGAAAGAAGUCACAGAGGAGCCAAAGGAAAAGUGUUAUCAUUAGAUGACACAUGUGAAAGAAACCAAAGAUAGUACCAACGAAUAUGACCCCAUACUCAUCUUGAAGCAUCAAGCGAAUUUCGAGGGGGUUAGACAUCAUUUCAUGUCUCUAAUGCCGGAACAACAUGUGAAAAGCACGAUGUUUAUAUUGGGAACCCAUGACGAGAAAUACAUUGAUCCAAAGACCAACAAGGCCUACUGAAUGGAUGUCGAUCGAUAUGCACACUAUCGCUAAUUUCUUGACAAAAGAAAACUCGCAUCGCAUCCAUUUGUAAGUUGUGAUUUCUAAAACUUCUUUGAUAAUUCUCUUGUUUGCUAUCGUUUGGACCGAGAUAUUCUAUCGUUUUUCCAAACUUCAGCUGCUUGUGCCGAUUUGCAAUGGACGACACUGGUGGUUGUGGAUUGUCGAUGUCCGGAAAAAGACAUUCUAUGUGCUUGACCCUGUGAACAAGAACAAAGUUGAAAUACGUGAUUUGAGAAUUAAAUUGAACAAAUUUGUUGUAAAUUAUUAAAUAUUUUUCUUGCUUAUUGAAUGUUUAUCACAUUUUAUUCAAAUCAUGAUUGGUGUUCGGUUCAGUGGAGUUGCUGAUUUUGAUUCACCAGAUUGCUAUGUGUUCACUUGGGUUCUUUUGCAUGCACAAAAUGUUUCUCUUACUGAUUGAAUGUUUAUCACGUUUUAUUCAGAACAUGAACAAGGUUCGGUUCAUUGUAGCUGCUAAUUUUCAUUCACUUUUUGUAUCCCUUUCAAGGAUUAAUAAUCUCCCAGAUGAGGGUUUACGUUGGGGCGAAACCUUUAAUGGAGGAUGGAGAGGGAGAAGAAGCAGAGUAUAUUAGAUUGAAUGGUCAAUGUACAAGCUAUGAUUGUGCAAUAUACGUCAUGAAAUAGCUUGAAACAAUUGAUCCUCGAAAGAUCAAAAGAGGGAAAAGGUAUCAAUAUAAAGCUUGGACACAACAAGAGAUUGAUGCCUUCAGGCUUGAAUAUGGUCCAAAUAUUCUGUUGUACAAACUGAACAAAAUCAGAGACCAAGUGAUAAGGGGAUCUGAAGCAAUAAGACUUCCGAAGCCAUCUGCUACUCUCUCCAACCCUUAAUGUAAAUUCACGUCUGGGGAUAUAUAUAGUAAAUAGGAUAUACUUUGUUUCACUGGUUGUAAUUAAUAUUAUUUUGUUUAACUUGUUUAAAAAAGCAAACACUGCUUCUUUUAAUGUAUA